AAAGAGCGCGCCUUCCGCGGCGCGCGCCGCCCCGCCUUGUCUCGGCGGCGGCUCCACGGUAUGGCGGAGAUGAUUUUUUUUUUUAAUUUUUCUCAGCAUAGAGGGAGAUCCUUCCGAAGGUAGCUCGUGAAACCUCCCGUCCCUCCAAGCAUGAGCCGACUUAGCGAUGUUUCCGAACCGAAGGGCUGCUCCGGGUUCCUGGGUCUGAAGUUCUUCCCGCGGCUACAACCAAAGCUCCAGCUGAGGAGCAACGUAUUUCACAGGUUCCAGGAGACAGAAAGGUAUGCGCCCCAACUGUAGAGUAAACCUGAGGAGCCACAGCCCAGAGACUGCAAACUGUGUCAGACGAACCAAGAAGCAACCGGACAGCUGCUGACCUCAAGGAUUUGGAGGUCAGUUGAUGGCCCAUGGAACCUAGCAUCUCAAAGGAGCAGAUUUUCAUUUUAUACCUGAGCAGCUGGCCUGGAAUAAUAAAUCACCCACACAUUUAAAAGUCUCUAUGAUAAUCACAAAAUAGUCCAAUACAUGUUAUUUACACUUAGCAAGCAGAGGAAGAAACCAAAGCGCACAACACGAUCAAAUGAUUGGCCUAAAGGUAGAGCAAAUUCAAGAGCAGACCUUUUCAUAGAACUUGGUAUCCCCGCUCGUGAUCCUUCGAUCCAUCUAAGAAGCCUCAAGCCUCGCUGCCUCUGUCUUCUCAGAGAGCCUCCUGAAUUACAAAUGAGGAGGAAGGAAAACAGCAAGAGUAAAUAUACUAAGCAGAAGUUCAGAUUGCCCUCGGGGACUACCCCCUUCCUUCAUCUACUAGAAUGUCACUGCUGUAUAUUAAAACCUCAAUUAAAAACAUCAGUUGUCCAUCAUGGAGAGGGGAAGAGGCCCAGAUAACACAAGAAGCCCCAAACCAGCCAAUAUCCUUUCUAAUGUGGCUUUCAUAUCCAGUCAGUGAUAUUCCAAAGAUACACAAAUGACACCCUCUGUGAUGAUCUCUGCUCACUGCCCUUGUGGGUCAUAGCUCUGUGCAUGAGCCCCAAAUCUUGCCUGGGUACACUUCCCUCUGUAGAACUCCAAGCAAGGGUCCCUUUUGGUGUCAUUUGUUCUUAGGAGCUACAGAUGACAACAUUAUGUCCUCUUUCCAGUGACAAAAGAGAAUGUAAAGGGAGCCCAUAGAAAGAGGGACUUGGAUCUGUAGAGGCACAAAAUGUGUCAGUCGCUGUGGGUUACUGUCCUCUCCUUAAAGAGGUAACAGUCUAUAGAGAACUCAUAAAUCACGUUUUCAUAGACUUCUUUUUUUUUUAAUACUUAAUGUUUUGUAGAGUGUCAGAGAAGUGUGCAAGUAUUCCCAAAUAUAUUCAGUAGAUGUGCCCUGUGGUAAUUAAGCAACGAGCACCUCUAAAAUAUAAAAUUAGUAAAUGUAUUCAGCAGUUUUUUUUUUAAUUACUAGAUAUAGGGGAUAUUAUCUGAACCUGGUUGACCUAAUUUCAGUCAUAGGCAAUGAUCAUUGUGGUAUCUAAGUGAUAAAUUCUAAGCUCAGGUGAAAGUGCAAACAGUUUUUAAAAAUUGGCAACAUAGGGGCGCCUGGGUGGCUCAGUGGGUUAAGCCUCUGCCCUUGGCUCAGG